CAUCUGAAUCUGCUGCCACGAUUCACCUCUACAAACUUUCUGUUCCCCACAAAGCAGCAUUCUCUCUCCUCCUCUCUCUCUCUCUCUCCCUCCAUACGUAAUUGUUUUUUUUAUUAUACAAAACCAUGAAUGCUUCUCUCUAUGGAAAUCGAAGCACAAUUUCAGAUCGUGCAUCUCCGUCUUCACUCUCCUUUUCCCCGAUUCCACUUCUCCUCGCUCAUCGGUUCAAUUUUCUCCUUCUGCGCCGCGGAUCGGUGAUUUUGACCUCAGAAUACGAGAUGAAGUGAUAAAUCCUUUUCCCUUUCAAUAAGCUAUGGAUUCGUUAAGCUCAAAGGAAUUCCAAUGAUGUAAGUAUUGUCUAAUAUGUCUCCCACGAAACUUCUCCCCGCCUUUCAUGGAACCUUCAGCAUUCCCUUCACCUGAUAUUACACUCUCUGGUUCAUAAGAUCAAUGCUCUUAAUAGAGAGAGGUACACACGAGCAAAUGAGUUGGGCAUGGGAAAAUCAUCCAGGUUUUGUGUAUAAUGGUACAAGACUGACAUUUGGCCAGGAAGUUUACCUUGACUUCAGAAAUUGAAUUCACCAACUGGUGGGCAGGUACUCUUACGAGGUAGACUCGACCAUUUGUUGGUGGUUCUUGCAUAUGUUGAUGUACUCGUAACAAAGAGGUUGUUAAGGAAGAAAAGGGCAGAGUGGAAGACUUAUACUUUGAAGAAAUGGAUUGAUGUUUCAUGUCACAUGGACUUGUAGCUCAACGCAUGGGCCAUAACCGUAGAAUGGUUAUUGCAUGGUCCGUGGAAGUCUUCUAUGCAUUACCAUUGAAAUUGCCAAGAGGGAAGCACGUCCUGUGCUUAAACUGAUGUUGUAACACGGCCCGUGCAAGUCAAGGGGAGUCCAUGAGCACUUGUUCGUAACAUUGUCACGAAACACACCUUUGAGAAAAGACCAUGUAUGACCCUUCAAUAUUUGGAAUAGCCGACUCUCGGCCUGCGAGAGUGAUGCACGGACCUUGCAUGUAUGGUUGUUCAACACACAACUCGUGCCUUAGACUUGUCGAUUAUCAGCAAAUUAGUGAGUUAAAGCGAGAGAAGUCAGUUUUACACA